ACGGAAGGCAGCAGUGGGGAAUAUUAGGCAAUGGGGGCAACCCUGACCUAGCAACGCCGCGUGAAGGAUGAAGGUUUUCGGAUUGUAAACUUCUUUGGCAGGGGACGAUAAUGACGGUACCCUGAGAACAAGCCACGGCUAACUACGUGCCAGCAGCCGCGGUAAUACGUAGGUGGCGAGCGUUGUCCGGAUUUACUGGGUGUAAAGGGCGUGUAGGCGGAGCUGCAAGUCAGAUGUGAAAUCCCGGGGCUCAACCCCGGAACUGCAUUUGAAACUGUAGCCCUUGAGUAUCGGAGAGGCAAGCGGAAUUCCUAGUGUAGCGGUGAAAUGCGUAGAUAUUAGGAGGAACACCAGUGGCGAAGGCGGCUUGCUGGACGACAACUGACGCUGAGGCGCGAAAGCGUGGGGAGCAAACAGGAUUAGAUACCCUGGUA
rnacentral:rRNA from 1 species